GACGAACGCUGGCGGCGUGCUUAACACAUGCAAGUCGAACGGUAAGGCCCUUCGGGGUACACGAGUGGCGAACGGGUGAGUAACACGUGGGUGAUCUGCCCUGCACUUCGGGAUAAGCCUGGGAAACUGGGUCUAAUACCGGAUAGGACUCCGGACUGCAUGGUCUGGGGUGGAAAGCCUUUACGGUGUGGGAUGGGCCCGCGGCCUAUCAGCUUGUUGGUGGGGUGAUGGCCUACCAAGGCGACGACGGGUAGCCGGCCUGAGAGGGUGACCGGCAACACUGGGACUGAGAUACGGCCCAGACUCCUACGGGAGGCAGCAGUGGGGAAUAUAGCACAAUGGGCGCAAGCCUGAUGCAGCGACGCCGCGUGAGGGAUGACGGCCUUCGGGUUGUAAACCUCUUUCAGCACAGACGAAGCGCAAGUGACGGUAUGUGCAGAAGAAGGACCGGCCAACUACGUGCCAGCAGCCGCCGUAA
rnacentral:rRNA from 1 species